CUACGUGCCAGCAGCCGCGGUAAUACGGAGGGUGCGAGCGUUAAUCGGAAUAACUGGGCGUAAAGGGCACGCAGGCGGUGACUUAAGUGAGGUGUGAAAGCCCCGGGCUUAACCUGGGAAUUGCAUUUCAUACUGGGUCGCUAGAGUACUUUAGGGAGGGGUAGAAUUCCACGUAUAGCGGUGAAAUGCGUAGAGAUGUGGAGGAAUACCGAAGGCGAAGGCAGCCCCUUGGGAAUGUACUGACGCUCAUGUGCGAAAGCGUGGGGAGCAAACAGGAUUAGAUACCCUGGUAGUCCACGCUGUAAACGAUGUCGAUUUGGGGGUUGAACUUUGAGUUUGGCGCCCGUAGCUAACGUGAUAAAUCGACCGCCUGGGGAGUACGGCCGCAAGGUUAAAACUCAAAUGAAUUGACGGGGGCCCGCACAAGCGGUGGAGCAUGUGGUUUAAUUCGAUGCAACGCGAAGAACCUUACCUACUCUUGACAUCCAGA
rnacentral:rRNA from 1 species